GACGAACGCUGGCGGCGUGCCUAAUACAUGCAAGUUGAGCGCUGAAGGUUGGUACUUGUCCCAACUGGAUGAGCAGCGAACGGGUGAGUAACGCGUGGGGAAUCUGCCUUUGAGCGGGGGACAACAUUUGGAAACGAAUGCUAAUACCGCAUAAAGACUUUAAACACAAGUUUUAAGUUUGAAAGAUGCAAUUGCAUCACUCAAAGAUGAUCCCGCGUUGUAUUAGCUAGUUGGUGAGGUAAAGGCUCACCAAGGCGAUGAUACAUAGCCGACCUGAGAGGGUGAUCGGCCACAUUGGGACUGAGACACGGCCCAAACUCCUACGGGAGGCAGCAGUAGGGAAUCUUCGGCAAUGGACGAAAGUCUGACCGAGCAACGCCGCGGGAGUGAAGAAGGGUUUCGGAUCGUAAAACUCUGUUGGUAGAGAAGAACGUUGGUGAGAGUGGAAAGCUCAUCAAGUGACGGUAACUACCCAGAAAGGGACGGCUAACUACGUG
rnacentral:rRNA from 1 species